UGAUUCUGAGGCCUCCCAGCCACGUCGAACUGGCCUAAAAUAGCAACCUGAAAUAUACUGGAUACACAAAAAAACUGUGUUUUAUGGAAUCUAAGAAGCCAUCGGUUACAGAAGAAGGAGAUGCCAGUGACAAGCAAAGUAACUCCCCCACGGCAUGGGAAGAGCCAGCAUCUGCUGCUGUCCAGGAAUACAGUCUCACUGCUGCAGUCAAGGAAGGCCAAAGAAGCCACCGGGGAAAACCAACCCAUCCCGGGGACACUGGAGGCUCACUCCUUCCUCGCUGCAUUCUGAGGCUGCUGCUUUGGAGUGAGAGAUUAUCCUCUGCUUCUCCUGAAAGAGAAGGUGAUAUGCCCAGGACCCUUCCUGAGUAAGAUGUGUUCCUCAGAGGUUAAAAAAGAAAAAAAAGCCCCAAACCCCUGAAACCAAGAAAUCAAGACAGCUCUGGUGGAGAAGCUUUUGGGAACUUGCUGGGGCAGGAGGCUUUUGUCCAUGCAGUAACUCAAGGUCUUCGACUCCUUCUGCCUUGUGGCCUUUCCAGGACCUGGAAUCCUCUACUUCCCAUUGGUGCAAAGGGAAACCGAGUGUGGAAAAGGAGCCAUUCUUAACCAACUUGGCCUGAAAGAGGGAAGCAUCACUUCUGUUCUUAUUCCAUGGGAGAGCUGCCUAGAUGGCCCUAUGUAGAUGAUAGAGGGUUUGGGAAAUUCUUAGUCUUAUGCUGAACAGACACUUUAAGGUGAUGAUUCUAUGCCAUGGAAGCAAAGAACAGGUUUGAAUGGACACAAUUAUGAGUCAGACACUAUGCUAAUUUCUGGAAAAAAAAAAGUAGGCAAAUCAUCAUCCUUUGGGGGGGUGAGAACCACAUAACAUAGGUACUCAACUAACCAAACAUGAUAUUCAAGUACUAAAUUAAGCCAUAUGUAAGCACAGAUGUAGGAGCAAAUAAUUCACUCAGAAAUGAACUCAGGGCAGAAGCUGUUGAAGGAAAGCAGAGAGGAGGAAGGAGAGAGUGUCCGACCUGAGCUAAGGCAUGAAGCUCAGAAGAUGUCUGAUAUGUCCAAAGACUGGUGAGCUUCUCGAUGUGUCAGAUGACCAAAAACUUGGGGAUAGAUGGGACUAGAAUAGAGAGGGCCUUGUGGGCUAUGCCUUGUGCAGCAAGAACUAGAAUUGAAAUGAUAAUAUGUAUUGUGAGCUUGAGGCUGCAAAUACAGGUCUCCUGACCCCAGUCCUUUUUUUGGAUAUUUUAUUCCAUAUGUGGAAGGAUACUGAUUUGUAAAACUCAAAGUCAUGUGUGACUUUUUAUGAUCAAAGGUGUUUGGUCUCUCACUGCAUGUUCUCACUUAUAAGUAGGAGCUGAACAAUGAGAACACAUGGAUACAGGGAGGGGAACAACACACACUGGGGCCUAUCCAGAGGGUAAUGGCGGGAAGGGAGAGCAUCAGGAAAAAUAGCUAAUGCAUGCUGGGCUUAAUACCUAGGUGAUGGGUUGAUAGGUGCAGCAAACCACCAUGGUACACAUUUACCUAUGUAACAAACCUUCACAUCCCACCCUUGUAUCCCGGAACUUAAAAAAAAAUGUAUUUGGUUUCUAAGAACAAAAAUAUAUUCCUGGCAGCCAUGUUAUUUACUGGGUAAGAAUAUGUCAUCUUAUAAAAGAGGCACAUUAAAAUGUAUUAAUUACCUCAUCUGAUUUCAAGGUUAAUAUUUCAUCACAUAUUUAAGUUUCCUUUCCUUUCCCCCCAAUACUUGCGGUAGUGAGUGUGCUUUCUUAUCAUGUCAGAGAGAGUUUGAAGUUCCAGGUAGCAAAAGAGGCUGAGGUUGUCUCAGUUGUUGCAGAUGGAGAUAAUCUUGCACCAUUCUGAGUAAGCCUGGCCUGGGAGAUGGACCAAAAACUGUGUCAUCAGAGGAUGAAGGUGGGUGACCAGUGGCAGGACAUAUACAUUACCUUCCCCCAAAGUUUUAGUAACCAGAAUCAGGGGCCUGGUUACGAGGUGUUGAUG
rnacentral:lncRNA from 1 species